UAUUUCCAAGGAGAAACUUGAGGCUCUAACAUUAAUUCACAACCACUGUAAUGCGACAGGGAUGGCAGCACAGCUAGAGAAAGAAAACCCCCAGUCCAUCAAUGGAAAGCAUGCUGCAGACACCUAACCUUGGAGCAGGGAUGUUGUUGCUGGUUCAUUUAGCUUCUUCCAAGUUUGAACCUCAUUAUCAUUGAAUGUUUUCUUUGGAAGCAAAGAGAAAAACUUACGGAUGAUGUCGCCAACAUGGAAGGUCUUAGUAGAAGCCCACUUCUUGUAGUCGACAUUGCCGAUGGUGGUCCAACCAGCAGAGUCCCCAACCUUGUAAACAGCUGCAAAGGAGAGUUGCAGAGUAGCUACAACCACCAGCAAAAGCAAAGAGAAGCGUCUCCCCACCAUACCCAUGACUGAAUUCCAACAAAUCUCUAAGGGAGUCCGUGAGGGGAAGCUGAGGAGGCCUUUGUGCGUGGGCGUUUUAUAAAAGGGGUUUUGGAGGUGAAGAGGGGUUAUGGAAGACGGAAGCCUUGAAAGCAAGGGCACUGAUUUUGGUGCCGCUCUAACAACAUGCCAAUGCUGUCAACCACUCAUGAUGGUUUUCUUUUGCAUCCGACAACACUUGUACUUUUAACAUCUUUACACUUUACACCCCUCACUUUCUCAC